rnacentral:rRNA from 1 species
UAUACUUCUAAUCUUUUAAUAUAAUUUUAAUAAAAACAAUAACAUAUAAAAUCUAAUAAAUAGUACUGUAAAGGAAUAGUAUCUCAUAUUAAAGUAAUGAUUAAAUCAUGUACCUUGUGCAUAAUGGUUUUACAAGCUCACAUUUAAAUAAUUAAUUCCCGAAUUCUGUGCGAGCUGCCUAUUUAUUGCUUAGAGCCCACUAUUAGUUGUAGCAUCAACUUUAAAAAAUAAAUUUGCAGAGGCUACAUACCACUCGCGCCAGAAAAUUGCUGGUUUUCAGUAAAACUUAUAUAUUAAAACAUGUACUAACAGUACAGUGUAAAGUCUCAGAGGAUAAGCCCUGAGUCUAAUUUCAAUAAUAGAAAUAGCUUACAAAAUAGGCCUAAAAUCAGCCAUCUAAAAUACUUUACCGUGAUAGUAAUAAUAAUUAAUUAUAAAGUAUGAUAAUUAAAACUGAAGAUUAUAAAAACUUACUCACCUAACUCUUUAUGUAAAAAUAAGUAUUGUAACUAAUAUUCACCUUAUUUAAUCCUAGCAAGGAACUCGGCAAAUCCUAAUUU